GGGGGUAUGGCGGAAUGGUAGACGCUGCGGACUUAAAAUCCGCUGACUUUCACGGUCGUGAGGGUUCAAGUCCCUCUAUCCCC
rnacentral:tRNA from 1 species